AUGGGUGGGCGUCGUGAUCACGGGCAGUGUCCCGCCGAGGUUAUUCUCCACCUCCGGCGGCUGGACGCUCUCCUCAAGGACCACGGCCUUGACCACACCGCCCACACGCUGGAGAUGGAGGCGGGGCUGUUCUUCGAGGCGGCGCAUCUGGAGCAAGUGAGGCAAGGGCUCUGGGCCUCUACCCACCGCUACCUGCGGCGCUUCUCGGCGCUCUGGGGAGACGGGGACGGGGAUGGCGCCGCCACCAAGUACGCCACCCUCCUCAGCAGCCUCUCCCACCAUUCCAUACUUGCCUGGCUGGCCUGCCGCGGCGACGAAGGCGGUCGCGCUGCCUCUUUCCUCAGGCCCUCCGAUGAGGCCAUCCGCAAGACCUGCCCCGAGGAAGCCCGACGCAAGGACAUGUACUGCUCCAUGACUUCCCAACAAGCCAGAGCAUCCAUGAACUGGGAGGAUAUAAAGCUCGAGACCUUGACGAGGGUGCAAGAGUUGGUUCGUCUGCGUCCCAACCUGGACCGCCUGCUGAAAAGGGGCUCUCGGAGAUACCGGAGGAAGAGAGUCGACCAUAAACCAGCACGUGAUCUCGCGUAUUUUGUUCUACACAAGAGGUACCAAACACAGGGUUUCUGUCUUUGUGUACUUUUUUUAUCAAGAAUAUGCGAUAUCAUCAACAUUUACACAAAUUCCUUUCUUCUGUGCAGGCUGCCCUCUAGUCAUAAGAUAAAAUAG
rnacentral:rRNA from 1 species